rnacentral:lncRNA from 1 species
GGAGGACCGGGAGCCGCCGACGCCGCCGUCACUGCCUGGAGCCCGGCGCCAGCACCCUGCCCUCCUUUCCCGCUGGGCAACCGCUCAGUCCUUCCUUUUCUCCCUUUCCCGGCGCCCCGGCUUCGGGACAUCCCGGCCGCCACCACCGCCGCGACUUACCUGCUUCCCCAUCCAGAAAUAGUUUCUCCAAGUGACACUGGAGGAAACACAUUCAAUCUUGAAAAUCUGGAAAGCCAAGUUAUCACCAAGUACAGAUCAACAUAUCAACUACAUUUUGGAAAUGGAGAAAGUAUCCCUCUCAGUAUAUUGAAAGAGUCAAAUUCUCAGACGAUAUCUUCUUUAUUCAACAGGUAAAAUGAGCAGCUUCUUUUGCAAUUAUUAGGGACUAGGUUAAAAAAAACUUCCUUAAACUAUCCUUUUAAAAUUAUAUAUAUAUAUCUUGCCAACUAUGCAAUGGUCCACAUAAUAACAUAAUAAUUACAAAGCAUAACCACUUGUUUUUAUGAAUUUAUGCUUGUUCUGUUAACAUUAAUGGAUUUUUUUCUUACUGAUGAUCUAUAAAAGAAAACAAUGAAUACAAGAUGUUUCAAAAAAAGUAAAAUGUAGAAACCGUAAAACUUGUGAUGACAAAUCUUAAGUCUUAUAAAGAUAAACUCGGACAAUUUAAAAAUUAAAAUUAUAUUUUAGUUUUUCAGAAAAUGUUCCUAAGAACCAUUCCCUUGAAACUUAAAAGUAAAAAAAAACAACUUUUGCCACUUUAUUCAAGUGCUGUAAUCUUAAAACAAUAAGCAAGAAAUAUAUAAUUAAGUAAAAGUCAAUGUAAUCUAAAUACCUCUUCAGAUAUCCAUUCAAGUGCCAUGUUGUUGAUUUGAUUGCCACAACAUCUCUUACAUCUAUGUUCUUCUCUCUACUUACUAUUCUAGCUCAGACCUUUAUUAUUUAAAAUGAUUUCCCUAAGAUUACGGUCCGAACAUGUUAGUUAGCACUCAAACUCCAAUGGCAACCUUUUAUUUUUAUUAUUAAACAUAAACUUCACUGUUAGGUUUUUAAAACCCUUCAUAAAUUGGUCCCAACAUAUAUUUACAACUUGAUUGUUAAUUCUUUUUCUAAAACUUCUAAUCCUGAGAAUUUUUUGUUCUUACUUUUCCUAGUACAUGAUGCUACAUCUCUAGUUUUUGUACUUUUGUACCGACAUUCUUCUAUAAAUUAACUGUAUUCCCUCCUUAUCUAUACCACUGAAAAAUCCAGUUUACUUUAAAACUCAACUCAAAUGCCAUCUUAUACAAGUAUGUCUUGAACUCAACUGUUACUGUGUUUUCCCUCAAAGUUGUCUCAUAUAUAUUUUGAAUAUACUUAUAUAUGUACAUAUCUCCCCUAAAGUAGUUUCUUUAGGACAAUAGCUUAUUUUAUGUCUUUGUAUCCCCAGUACUUGGUAGACAAUAAAUAUUUGUUAAUCAAUUCUGUGUAAACUAGA